rnacentral:rRNA from 1 species
ACACUCCUGCGGGAGGCAGCAGUGGGGAAUUUUGGACAAUGGGCGAAAGCCUGAUCCAGCAAUGCCGCGUGCAGGAUGAAGGCCUUCGGGUUGUAAACUGCUUUUGUACGGAACGAAAAAGCUCCUUCUAAUACAGGGGGCCCAUGACGGUACCGUAAGAAUAAGCACCGGCUAACUACGUGCCAGCAGCCGCGGUAAUACGUAGGGUGCGAGCGUUAAUCGGAAUUACUGGGCGUAAAGCGUGCGCAGGCGGUUAUGUAAGACAGAUGUGAAAUCCCCGGGCUCAACCUGGGAACUGCAUUUGUGACUGCAUGGCUAGAGUACGGUAGAGGGGGAUGGAAUUCCGCGUGUAGCAGUGAAAUGCGUAGAUAUGCGGAGGAACACCGAUGGCGAAGGCAAUCCCCUGGACCUGUACUGACGCUCAUGCACGAAAGCGUGGGGAGCAAACAGGAUUAGAAACCCCUGUAGUCCCAU